UGUGCACCACUCACUAUUGUCCCAGUGAAACACGUAUUUGGCCAACAUUUGUUCUGCGGUUGAGAACACCUCGAUGACGUCACACAGGAGGUAGAACAAAACAAGACGUUGUUUUGGUUAUUAUGGUUUCUAGGUCUUAAUUACAACGUACAUGUGCACAUGUGUGUCGUUUAACAGAGUAAACGUCGUUAUUAAUUGUUUGUAUGCGGAUACAUUAGUCUGAGUGCACUUUGACGUGCUAGCCUAGCCUGCUGGUUAGCUUAGCUUGUUAGCUGCUAACAAAGAGAGGCGGAAGUGAUCGACACAUCAAAGCAGAGAUCCAAUACAUCUGUGAAGAACAUCUUCACCCUGAGCAACAGAAGUGGAGCUUCAGGAUGCGGACGGAGGAGCCACAGCCCUCCCACAUUAAGAAGGAAGAGAAAUACCUACUGAUGCCCCAUUUUAAAAAGGAAGAGGAGGACCCACUGACACCCCGAUUUAAAGAGGAAGAGGUGGAUCCACUGACCCCUCACAUUCAAGAGGAAGAGGAAGAGCACAGCAUCAGUCAGCAGAGAGAGCAUCUUGAAGGACUGGAGGAGGUUGAUGUCACCAAGAUGCCAGUGACUGGUGUCCCUGUGAAGAGUGAAGAUGAUGAGGUGAAAGGUGAAAGUGAGGAGAGGGGAGGGGGGGAGCCUCCAAGCAGCAGCUCAACACAACACAUGACAACAGAAGCUGAUGGAGACCACUGUGGAGGAUCACAAGCAGACAAGCUCUUAGCUCCACUAUCAGAUAGUGAGGACACAACGUCACACUCUCCUGACACUGAUGAUGAAGACUCUAAAGAUGAUAAGACAUGUCACACUGACAACACUCACUUCACAUCUUCUCACUCUCACAAAACUUUUAAAUACCAAAGUCGUCUGAAAAGACACAUGAGAACACACACUGGAGAAAAACCUUUUCAUGUUUUAUCUGUAGUAAAGAUUUUACUAAAAGACAAAAUUUGAAAAGACACAUGAGAACACACACUGGAGAAAAACCUUUUUCAUGUUCAAUCUGCAGUAAAGAUUUUACGCAUUGGCACAAUUUGAAAACACACAUGAGAAUACAUACUGGUGAAAAACCUUUUUCCUGCUCAGAAUGUGGCAAAAGUUUUGUAAUAAAUCAAAGGUUAAAAGUACACAUGAGAAUACACACUAGAGAAAAAACUUUUUCCUGCUCAGAAUGUGGUAAAAGUUUUGUAACAAAUCAAACCUUAAAAGCACACAUGAGAACACACACUGGUGAAAAACCUUUUCCGGGUUCAAUCUGCGGUAAAGAUUUUACUCUAAAGACCCUUUUAAAAACACACAUGAGAACACACUCUGGUGAAAAACCCUACUCCUGUUCAAGAUGCAACAAAAGCUUUCGUCACUGACAAUCUUUCACAGUACACAUGAGAAGACACCCAGGAGACAAAGUGUUGAGUUGCAGUGUGUGUGGUGAAAGAUUGUCUUCUAAGUAGCAGUGUAAGAAACACAAGUGUGCUGGUGAGAACAGCAGCAGCAAAUGAAACUGCAGGAUUUGAAAUAAACUGUCCAGACUUUCAUUUUGACUUUCUAACAACAUCAGCACAUAUAACAUGUGUGACAUCAUUGUUGUGUGUGUACAAUAAUGUUAUUAUGAAUCUAACAUUUAUAGAUUAGACAUUUCAGAUUAGUGCUUUUAUUUCAGUCAAGUACAUGAGUUAUUAUACACAUUUGUGUACUUUAAAAUGAACAGAUUUUUGACUGAAAAGGUGAGAAUAAACAGUAUAUAAAAUAUGUUACUUACAGUAAACAUUUUAAGUGUAGAUAUCCAUAAUUUACUUUUAUACUUAUUCAUAAUAUUGUUUCAUAUGUUUUAUGUAAUAAUGAAGAGUUGCAUUUUUUUUUCAAAUUGUAGAUGAUUGCAUAGAUGAACUCCUUUAUAUGAUGUACAUAUUUGUUUUACAUGUGUUCAUACCUUUGCUUUUGAGUACACAUAAAUCCCUCUUAGUUCAUAUUUACUGGUUCACAUCUGAAACAUCUUCUGGACCACUUCUGGAAGCAUAUUAUUAUUUACUUUAUACAUCAUUUGAACAAUUGUUUUUAUACAAGAUCAUUUACUUUUAAAAUGUGUGACUUUAUGAAUUAUUUCUUGGGUCUCUAUAAUCCAUUUUAUUAAUUAUCUUUUUUACUCUCUUGCGUAAUAUGAUGAUUGUUUUGUGAUUGUUUUAUAUGUAUGUCCCCAGACUUUUAUGCAAUGAACAAUGUAUGCUUCAACUAAAGUUGGGUACAAUAAUUAUAGUUAAUAUUCAUAAGUAUUUAUUUUAUUCUCUUUAGUAUUGCACACCAUUGUUUUAUUGUUUUCUUUAUAUGACUUACAUGUAGUGUCCAGCUUACUUCAUCAUCUAUAUUAACUCAUAAAAAUGUGAUGACCUUUA